rnacentral:rRNA from 1 species
UACAGAGGUCUCAACCGUUGUUCGGAUUCAUUGGGCGUAAAGGGUGCGUAGGCGGUCGCGCAAGUCGGGUGUGAAAGCCCCGGGCUCAACCUGGGAAUUGCAUUCGAGACUGAAUAGCUAGGGUACGGUAGAGGGAAGUGGAAUUUCCGGUGUAGCGGUGAAAUGCGUAGAUAUCGGAAGGAACAUCAGUGGCGAAAGCGACUUCCUGGACCAGUACCGACGUUCAGGCACGAAAGCGUGGGGAGCAAACAGG